rnacentral:rRNA from 1 species
GACGAACGCUGGCGGCGUGCUUAACACAUGCAAGUCGAACGGAAAGGCCCCCACCUUGGUGGGGGUGCUCGAGUGGCGAACGGGUGAGUAACACGUGGGUGAUCUGCCCUGUACUUCGGGAUAAGCUUAGGAAACUGGGUCUAAUACCGGAUAGGACCAUGGUUUAGUGUCUCAUGGUGGAAAAAUUAUUGUUUUGGUGCAGGAUGAGCUCGCGGCCUAUCAGCUUGUUGGUGGGGUAAUGGCCUACCAAGGCGUCGACGGGUAGCCGGCCUGAGAGGGUGGACGGCCACAUUGGGACUGAGAUACGGCCCAGACUCCUACGGGAGGCAGCAGUGGGGAAUAUUGCACAAUGGGCGCAAGCCUGAUGCAGCGACGCCGCGUGGGGGAUGACGGCCUUCGGGUUGUAAACUCCUUUCGUUAGGGACGAAGCCACACCUUUUUUGGGUGUGGUGACGGUACCUUUGUUAAGAAGCACCGGCUAACUACGUG